CAGACAUGCGCAUUAGCGUGGCCGCUGUGUCUAUGGACUAUGGAAUCUAGUGCGGUUGUUGUUAUUAUUACCAGAGACGGUUUAGCGUAGUAGUAUUUUUUGUUAUUAUUCAUCAAUAGUUAUGCAGUGUAGUUAUGUUCAGCGCGUGACUCAAACACAGUAACUGUAGUGGUGUUUAAGAAGUGUUUUGUUGACGUAGGCUACAUAAAAAAAAUGGCUAAAUCUGCCUGGUCGGAGAAAAUGCUCCAACUCCUCCGCCGAAUGAAUAACUUUUCUCUACCAGGCUCGUGCCGCCCCCAGUGCUUCAGGUUUGAGAUCAACGACGCACAGGUAGGCUGGAUUCGCCCUCACGUGGCUCCGCUGCUGGCCCGGCACCCGGAGGUGUUCUCCCCGCCCCACGGGGGCGCAGUGGCGCUGCUCCCCGGCCUGGACACCCACGAGAGCAGGUCUGCGGCUGUGGACGCUGUCCUGCAGAGUAUGAGACAGGAGGGCCACCUGACCUGUCUUAAAGGAUGGAGGGAUGAGAAGUACAGCGUGAUGGCGAAGUUCUCGGACCCUCCGAUGAUGUGGAUGGAGAGAGCCGCUACGAGUCUUUUUGGGGUGAAGCGGGGUGGAGUCCACAUCAAUGGCUACACCGUCAGCGAGGGGGGGGAGGUCAGCAUGUGGCUGGCACGCCGCUCCCCGACCAAACAGACGUACCCCGGACUACUGGACAACGUGGCGGCCGGCGGUCUGGCUGCUGGCGUUGGCGUCAAACACACUCUGGUCAAAGAAUGUCAGGAGGAAGCAUGUAUCCCAGCAGCCAUUGCUGAGAAGGCUCUUCCUGUGUCCACAGUAAGCUACACCUACGAGGAGGAAGACGGGGUGUUCGCAGAAAACCAGUUCGUCUUUGAUCUGGAACUUCCUCGGGACUUCAAGCCCAGAGUAGGAGACGGAGAGGUGCAGGACUUCUACCUUCUGCCCAUUGAUGAGGUGAAAGAGCUGCUGGCCACCGACGACUUCAAACCCAACUGUGCCCUGGUGGUCCUGGACUUCCUCAUUAGACACUCCUUCAUCGAGCCAGACGCAGAGCCAUGCUAUCAGGAAUUUGUGGCGGGACUCCAUCAGACGUUGGAGUGAAGCAGAGGACCGAGCCGCCUGGCGGAGGUCUACAUCCAUCCAACGUUAGCCAACCUGCAUGUUGGGUCCUGAGAGGGUGCUUUGAGAGAACCUCCUCCGAGACUCGACUGAGUCUAGAAACGGGGGACGGGUGAACUGGAGUGCUGGAUUUGGGACUGAGGGUCUUCCCAACACAGCUCUCUGAACUGUAAGCUUUUAACCCUCGUGUUGUCCUCAGGUCAAAUUUGACCCCCUUUCA